UACGUAGGGUGCGAGCGUUAAUCGGAAUUACUGGGCGUAAAGGGUGCGCAGGCGGCUUGCUAAGACAGGUGUGAAAGCCCCGGGCUUAACUUGGGAAUUGCGCUCGAAACUACGUGGCUGGAGUGUGGCAGAGGAAGGUGGAAUUCCACGUGUAGCGGUGAAAUGCGUAGAGAUGUGGAGGAACACCAAUGGCGAAGGCAGCCUUCUGGGCCAACACUGACGCUCAUGCACGAAAGCGUGGGGAGCAAACAGG
rnacentral:rRNA from 1 species